rnacentral:tRNA from 1 species
CCACUGGUGGUCCACUGGUUAGCAUUCUGGACCUGUAACCGGAGGGUUGCCGGUUUGAGCCCCGACCAGUGGG